CAGCCGCCACGGUAAUACGAACCGUGCGAACGUUAUUCGGAAUCACUGGGCUUAAAGCGCGUGUAGGCGGAUGGGAGCGUCGGCCUCUGAAAUCCCCCGGCUCAACCGGGGAAGUGGAGCCGAAACGACCCGUCUGGAGGGACGUAGGGGGACCUGGAACUUCCGGUGGAGCGGUGAAAUGCGUUGAGAUCGGAAGGAACGCCCGUGGCGAAAGCGAGGUCCUGGACGUCUGCUGACGCUGAGACGCGAAAGCCAGGGGAGCAAAUGGGAUUAGAUACCCGGGUAGUCCCUGUCUCUUAUA
rnacentral:rRNA from 1 species